GAUGAACGCUGGCGGCGUGCCUAAUACAUGCAAGUCGAGCGAACGGACGAGAAGCUUGCUUCUCUGAUGUUAGCGGCGGACGGGUGAGUAACACGUGGAUAACCUACCUAUAAGACUGGGAUAACUUCGGGAAACCGGAGCCAAUACCGGAUAAUAUUUUGAACCGCAUGGUUCAAAAGUGAAAGACGGUCUUGCUGUCACUUAUAGAUGGAUCCGCGCUGCAUUAGCUAGUUGGUAAGGUAACGGCUUACCAAGGCAACGAUGCAUAGCCGACCUGAGAGGGUGAUCGGCCACACUGGAACUGAGACACGGUCCAGACUCCUACGGGAGGCAGCAGUAGGGAAUCUUCCGCAAUGGGCGAAAGCCUGACGGAGCAACGCCGCGUGAGUGAUGAAGGUCUUCGGAUCGUAAAACUCUGUUAUUAGGGAAGAACAUAUGUGUAAGUAACUGUGCACAUCUUGACGGUACCUAAUCAGAAAGCCACGGCUAACUACGUGCCAGCAGCCGCGGUAAUACGUAGGUGGCAAGCGUUAUCCGGAAUUAUUGGGCGUAAAGCGCGCGUAGGCGGUUUUUUAGUCUGAUGUGAAAGCCCACGGCUCAACCGUGGAGGGUCAUUGGAAACUGGAAAACUUGAGUGCAGAAGAGGAAAGUGGAAUUCCAUGUGUAGCGGUGAAAUGCGCAGAGAUAUGGAGGAACACCAGUGGCGAAGGCGACUUUCUGGUCUGUAACUGACGCUGAUGUGCGAAAGCGUGGGGAUCAAACAGGAUUAGAUACCCUGGUAGUCCACGCCGUAAACGAUGAGUGCUAAGUGUUAGGGGGUUUCCGCCCCUUAGUGCUGCAGCUAACGCAUUAAGCACUCCGCCUGGGGAGUACGACCGCAAGGUUGAAACUCAAAGGAAUUGACGGGGACCCGCACAAGCGGUGGAGCAUGUGGUUUAAUUCGAAGCAACGCGAAGAACCUUACCAAAUCUUGACAUCCUUUGACAACUCUAGAGAUAGAGCUUUCCCCUUCGGGGGACAAAGUGACAGGUGGUGCAUGGUUGUCGUCAGCUCGUGUCGUGAGAUGUUGGGUUAAGUCCCGCAACGAGCGCAACCCUUAAGCUUAGUUGCCAUCAUUAAGUUGGGCACUCUAAGUUGACUGCCGGUGACAAACCGGAGGAAGGUGGGGAUGACGUCAAAUCAUCAUGCCCCUUAUGAUUUGGGCUACACACGUGCUACAAUGGACAAUACAAAGGGCAGCGAAACCGCGAGGUCAAGCAAAUCCCAUAAAGUUGUUCUCAGUUCGGAUUGUAGUCUGCAACUCGACUACAUGAAGCUGGAAUCGCUAGUAAUCGUAGAUCAGCAUGCUACGGUGAAUACGUUCCCGGGUCU
rnacentral:rRNA from 1 species